GGUGUUCCUCGAUUUGGAAGCAUAAAUCACUGGGGAAGUGAGCUGGAAAACGUUUUAUGCAUUGUCCAUCCUAUUACAAGCCUGGUGCUGAUCCAUUUCUCACAAGG
rfam:Erinaceus europaeus cont1.381697, whole genome shotgun sequence.